rnacentral:lncRNA from 1 species
CUUCUUUGUGAGUAGGAGGGUCAAAGAAAUGUUCAUAUCCCUGCUUCUAGCUGAUAGAACAGAAAAACCCAAGAGAACAAAUACUCCGACCGAGGCAUGUGACACGAGCGAGGCACCAAAUGUCCCAGACCAACACCUGCACCAAAGGCUCUCUGUCCAGCUGUGGCCGGCUGCUCUGACAGCAGUCUCCAUGGCCAGUCGUGAAGAGCACGUUCUCUGACUUAUCUGUCAAGAGCAUCCCAUCCAGCGAGCCCUCCACCUUUGGCGUCCCCAACACCCCACCCUCUCCUGGUUCUCUGCUCACCCGGCGCUCCCAAGCCCUGCUGCUAAAGACACUCGUCUCUAUUACACCGGCCGAUCUUAACUUCCUGCACAGUGGCUGUCUUCCCCAGCCAUGCAGAACUGUCUCCGUCACCACCACCCACAGAAAAGACUGCACAACACACCCAGAAUAUCAAGUAGUGGAUGGCACGCACACCCUGAAAAUGACUGCCAGUCUGACCAACUCCAGCCCGGGACGGCCCAGGGGAGUCCUUACAGACUGUGUUUCCCAAAGCUUCCUGGAAGUGGAGUGCUGCCCUUUCUCCCUUUCUGACAACAGAGUCAGAGCCUGUCCUUUCUGCAGACCGCAUCAGCACCCGCAGCCUCUGGCCUCUUCAGUCCCCACCCUCUGGGCUGGCUCUGGCCUGGUGGUAGCUGUUUCCGUCUGGAUUACCCAGCCUGGGGCAGAGGCGUAGGAACAGCUGGGCUUUGGGUGAAGUCUGGGAGAUGAAUCAAGAGACCAUUUCAACAAUCUGCCCCCCUGAGCCCAGGGUCUGGGUGAUGCUUUUUCAACCAGGGACCUGGGUAAGAUCUUCUGACUCCUGGAGAGAAAAGGCCCUGGGAGGAGAGCCAUUCUUAAACUGUUAUUAUUUCUCCAAGGAUUUAUAGGAAACAUCAACUAAUUUACUCAAGAUUUAAUUUGUUGAAAAUGUAAUGUAUUUAGCCUAAGUGAAAUAACAGGUCAUUUCCUUUUUUCUUCAGAGUUCAGUUGUUAGUCUGAUU